AAGUGGCUGUGCGUAAGGGAUAUAAGUGGAAAUCCUCUCUUGCCUUGUCUCGUUUUAAAACGAAACGAGGCAAGAGAGAUUAUAACAUAUAGCCCGACCUGAG
rnacentral:sRNA from 1 species